CUCAAGAGGAGGUGGAAGAAGAGCCUGCUGGCAGUGAAAGGAACAGAACUUCUUGAAUGACUUGUUCUGGUGGAUCAUCUAUUUUCUCUCAGGCAUGAGAAAAAGCAAUAGCCACAAGCAGCAAAGAACAGAAAACUGCUGUUUUAUAUACAGAUUAACAUUUGUGAUGCCCCAAGAUAUCAGCUGGAUGCUUUUACAUGGUAGAAGAAUGUGCAGUCCAUAUACUACAGGGUAUUUACAGUGUCCCCUUCAUGGAAAGGAACAUCCUAAAUUUCUCCAUGACAGCUGUGCAACAAGCAUGGAGAAAGUAUGGCUGAGCUACAGAAGAACUGCAAGAAGUGUGCCAGCAGACCAGCGAUAUG
rnacentral:lncRNA from 1 species